UUGUUGGAUUUUUUUUUACUCUCGUUGACAUUUUCUUUAGUGGAACAUCACCAAAUCAUAUAUGAAUCAAAUGUCCCAUUAGUAAAUACAAUGUCAAUCGGUCAGAAUCUCUACUGUGCUGAAGACCUGUACAGAUGAACAAGCAAUCAAUACACCAAAAGUUUUAAUUACAUCAAAUGAACAGAUAUACUAUAGAAUAUGGUGAUAGGGUAUUCGGAAAAGUAACUAAUACUAGUCUAGCAAUUUAUCUUAUUGUCAUUUUUACGUUAUAGAGCCGAUAUUAGAUAUAACUAUGUCCAUUUCAUAUCUGAAAUUGGUCUGGGUAAAUAACCAUUGUAAAUAAAUCUGUAUUGAGGCAAGUUAACAACGUCAAAUAAACAUAAAGAUGAAUACGAUCAAGCUCUCGGUUGAUAUUGAUCAUCGCUACAAAUUAGACUUUAUUUAUGGCAUAUUAGAUUUUCUUCUUAUGAUGUUUUGCCAAAU
rnacentral:lncRNA from 1 species